GGUCUGGAAGACUUCUGAGGCAGAGCCUUGGAGUGUAUAAAAGGAGCUCCAUGCCCAGCACCAGGGGCAGAUGCAUUGGGGACUGAGAAGAGAGAAGAGCAAGGCUUAGAAGAGCUGAGGAGAGAUGCUCAGCAGGGCAAAGCAGUAGCCCAGGAAGAGCACCUGAAGACUUCUAUCAGUGGGGAGUGGGGGACGGCUCCAGUGGUUAGGCUCUGGGAGCGCAGUAUGGUGCACAGCGUCCAGACCCUGGGAGCUGCAUGAGGCGGCUUGGGUCUGCAACCUCUGGCAUGCAGCCAGAGACACGGUGCACAGGCUGGUGCGUGGAGCAGGAUCUUUGGAGUCCCUGGGGCAGCUCAGGUCCUCAACCCCGGGAACGAGGUAGGGAGCUCAGUGCAGGAGGCACUGCAUGGAGGGUGAGAGACCCUGGGAGCCGUCUGAGAUGGCUUGGGUGUACAGCUGCUGACAUAGGGCAGCAGCUCAGUGCAGACAAUGCUGCCCAGAGGGUCCAGGAACAGACUGAGCCCCGGUGCUGCACAAGGCUGUCCAGGCCUCCAACCCCUAGCACAAGGCAAAGCGCCCACUACACACAGUGGUGCAUGUGGAUGAUAGCGGGGGAGCUUAGGAGUCUUUGGGGUCUUUCUCUCCUUUUUCUUUCCCCCCCAUCUCCUUUCCUGUAGUGGUACCUUGGGAUUGGGGCACCUGACCUGGAGGGCAACCAGGUAGUCUAAGGACUGCUGAUUAUAUUUGUGGACUGUGCCUUAUAGUUUAUGUGAAUAAUUUGAAGUACUAGUUUGUAUAUGAAUAGAGUUAUGAGGUUGCCCAAUCAAUAUCCUUUGGUCUGGUUUGUUCUAUUGUUCAUCUGUAUUUUAAAUAAUAACUGGGGGGGGGGUGUACACUGGCCUGCCAAUAAUUCCCUCAAUUGGAGAGGGAAGUACAAACCCGUGUAUACCUGGGCUACAUUUGCAAAAGGUGUCUAAGCACUGGAGCUGCCCCACAGCUAACAAGCUACUUGAAACCCUUGCCCAAAUAAAAAGCUGCCAAGGCCCCAAAGUGGGAUUCUCAAACAAGGCAAGAGAAUGUGAUCCUAUAAACUUGCUCAGAACAUGAUCAAUGCCUAUUACUGGACAGCUCCUUCUAGGUAAUUCAGAGGCAGGUUACCGAUAGGUUGAAAGGGCAGCAAAGCACUUGUACAAAAGACAGCCAUAGGCUCAAGGAAAUGCAGGGUGAGCACUGGAGAGGUAUUUGAGCUGGAGACAGAAAAAAAGAUGGCAUAGGUGGGGCUACCAAAAUGUCUGACAUGGUUUAACGCUUAACUCCAGAAGAUGCCUCAUGGCUGACAACUAUGUGUAGUGGGAGGCCCAGAUCCAAGCGCACCAAGUCACCUGCUUAGGUGCCUAAGGCCUUUUCUUCUCUCCCUCUCCUUUGCAUUUCAUUCUUGUCUAGCUUAACUGGCCCCACUCUCAGCUGACAGCUGCUAGGUUUUAGACAAUUCUGUUCUUGGGCACCUGACUUUCUGCAGGCAUCAGCUGGGGAGCCUGCACACGGAUCUCACCAACAGAAGUUCCAGUGGGUGCAGGGUUCUUAGAGGCUAGUCACUGUGGGCUCUUGUACACGUACUUGGCAUUUAGGGGGUGCAGACAAAGGAAAUGUCCCAAUUAUGUUGACUAAACUGCAUUUGUGUUUGCACAACCCGGGAUUUCCCACCUGUAACAGGGAACCCUAACCCUGUUACUAAGAGUCAGGGUGGCCCCUUUAAGUCCAGAACCUUCCAGUCAUGGCCAGCCGGUCAAGACUGGGUUAAGGCUCAAGCCCUGCCAGCCAGUCAGGUGACAGGAAGAGGAAGGCCAAGACCUUACAAAUGGCAAGUGGAGAAGGACAGAGGGGCAGCAGAGAGGCGGACUCCCAGUGACUACGGUGCUGCACCUGCAGUCUCAGUCGGAAGAAUACACCAUGCCAGGAGCCAUCCUCACUAUCAUCUAAAGGCUGUAGAAGUGGAGAAAGGACAGGCCUAAGUUGCACCCUACCAAGGCUGGCUAAUGUGGUGGGGUAACACCCAGCAAAUCCCACAUGGUGCACCCUUGGGGAAAAGGUGAGUAGGAGGGGCCUGAAAACCUCUGCCUCCUGUUCCUGAGCUGCCGGGUGACUAAAGAAAGGCCGAGAGAAUCCCAGGACGGAUGUGAUGCCCGAAAAGGUGAAGACCCACUUGGGUGAGUGAGGGUGUUAAGGGGGGAGGUGUGUCACAGAGCACUUAGAUGCCCGGUUCCUAUAAAGAGUGGAAACUGCUAGGGGAAGAGCCCUAGCAGUGAGUGGGAAGCCCCAGCUGCUGGUUACCAGGGCAACCAGAGUGAGCUAGCAGCCCACACCUGCCACUGGUCAGCUGACCGGAAGGGGCAGGGCCUGGCUCACACACAAACCCCAGGACUGAGGCCAGGAUGGCAGUUCCCUGCUGGCAGCCAAGGGGGAAAGAGCUCUGCCUGAGCAAACAACGGGGAGAGGCCUGACUGCACUAGCAGCUCCUGAUACUAUUGUGGGAUGGAGUAUUCCCUGGUACGGUUUGAAUAAUGUUAUAGCCGGGUGGCUUGAGUUUAUGUUACAGCCCAGAGCUUGUGUUUGAUUUAUUAUUGUAUAACACCAGUGGCUUGGUUGAGGCUAUUAGGGAAGGAGGAGGCCUCAUGGGGACCCAUGGCAGUGUGGGGACCCCAGCACCAGAGAGGGUGCAGCUUUUGGGGUGCACCAACCCCGGUGCCAGAGAGGGCGCAGCACUUUGCAGGGCUGUGGAAAGUCCAGGCACCAGUGAGGCACAGAGCGAGACAGGGCUGUGGAGAGCCCAAGGAAGGCGCAGCGCGAGACAGGGCAACAGAGAGCCCAGGGUGGACCAGGGAGCCAAAUUAUAAUAACUGAACAACAUCAGUUCCAUCUGCAAGGCUUGGGCUGCGGUGUAGGGGAGGAACAGAGCCACAGAUAGUGCCCCCUGGCAUCAGGGCAGGAAAUGGGCAGCCUCCCUCUUAAUUACAUCCAUUAAUCAGUUAACAACAAGGCAUGGCAGGAAAGAAGGCAGGCGGUUUGUCCAUAACAGGUGGGCGGGGCCACCAGUAGAUGGACCCCAAAGAGGCGCCCCUGUUACACUGCCACUUUGAAGUCCAUUUAGCACCUUAAACUAACACUACUCAGAGAUGUUUUAAAUUACAUCACUUUUGUGUUACGCCACUCCAAGUGUGGAUUUUGUCGCUAAAAAUGUUCCUGGUUUAAUUUUUCUUUCUUAGUUUAAGAUGGCUAAAUAAGUAACGUGGACGUGACUUACCACAUAAGGGCUUAUUAUGCUAUGACUAGUAAAAAGCACUAGAGGGCAUGUCAGAACAAUUUUACCCUCGUGCCCUUUCAGUCCUACCUUACUGCCAGGUAGCACUUUAGGACAAGAAACACCCAGCCACAGUACUUCUGCCACUCUUUUUUCCUGGGUGCAAGUUGCACUGGGGGUUCGGUGGGCUGAGGUGCAAAAUCUUUCCGUGCAAAGCUAACCCCAAGUGUACACAAGCAUGGGGCACUUGGACGCUUUUUUUUGGCCCCAACCCUUUCUGCGCAAAGCCCUGUGGGGCUCCACAUGUGUACAAAAACAUCUCCCAAGGCUGAGUGAAGGUGGGGGCACCCUUUGGGCAACACGCUGUUUCCAUAAGGUGCUGGGUGCUGGGUACCCUUCAGGCUACCCCCAAGUGUGCUCAAAACAUUGCCUCUCCCCUGGCUCUGGGGUCUCAAAGGGCAUCACCCACUGCCCUAGCCUGGUGCCCCUCGCCUUCCCUGGAUGCAAGUUGCAUGGGGCACUGAGGCACUUUUUUUUGGUGCCAAACCUUUCCAUGCAAAGCCCCGCAUGUUUUGACGUGAAAUUUUUGAGCGCUUACCAGGCCAGCACCAGACUGUUUGGGGGGUUUUUACACCAGAAUGAGGCAGGUGUGUGGGGGGGGCAUCUGGCCCCUUGAGUGCCUAUAAAUUCGUGGAGCAGUGACUGACCGGGGUGUGUACUCUAUAGACUUUUGAGGUGGAUGAGAGAUGGCAACACACCAGAGGCACAAGGACUCAGCUCUGCGGGACACUUGCUCCUGGAUAGCACAGUACCUUUUCCAUAAGAGUGCAGCCUGCUGCUUGCUGCUCAUGUCGGGUGUGGUAUUGCCUUUCAGCGCGGGAUGAGGCAGCUUUUUGCAACACUUGAAAGAGGACCCCAUGACAGGUUCCACAAUCAAACAGGACGUUUACAUAUAGCAGGCACAGUCAGGCACAGCAGGCAACAAAGAAGAACACAAGCCUGGGAAAGUCACCUGACGCCACUUCCGUCUCCAGAAAAAAUGAUGGCAAUGUCACUGCCAGGUGCCUAUUCAAUACUCUUAAUACCCUUUUAGGCUCAAAAAAAGCCUAUGGGAAUUCACUAUUAGCCUCUCUCUGCCUCACUGUAGACAAGUCCUCAUAUUCUGUGAAUACAUGAGCAACUAAGCUUGCAUUUUAAAUAAUCCAUAAUUUAAAAAUUAAUAUUUCUGUUUCAUAUUUGAAUAUGCCAGUAUUUACCAAUGAAUAUCUUUUUUGUCCCUUAUUUGCCCUGUUUCCAGCCUUCCCUCCUUCCUCCUGCUCCUCCUGCUGAUUCUACAUGCCCCAGUCUGCAGUGCAGUGUGCAAGAUUUAAAAAUGCUAAAAACUUGCAAAUGGUGAAGCUAUUCCAAGCAGCUACUUACUGAAAUAUGCUUCAUUAGCUCAUUUUAAGGAUCAUGUAUGUAAUAUUCCUUUUUCUUUGUUUGUCUUUUCAUGUAGCCCAGGUAAUUAUGCCAAGUAAUUAUGUUUCCCCAUGGUUGAUGGCUCCCUCUCAGCACCCCCGGCUGGUGCUGACCUGCAUGCCUCCCCUCACUCUUGCUAUAGUGCAGCUUCUUUAAGAAUGCCCAUUCUAGCCUGUUCCCUCCAGUGCUUUCUCCAUGGGUGGGGACUCCCUCUCAACACUCCUGGUUGGUGCUGGCUGAUGUACCCUCUCCUCUCACUACUGCUACAGUGCAGUUUUUCCAAGAACUUGGAACACAACUUGCACAGUCCUUCCAAGCCUCCUAACCACUUGACUACCAGGUAUUUAUUUAUUCUAGCACAUACACUUACACAUACAUACAUACAUGCUAUUAUCAUUGUUUUAAAAAGGUCCCCUGCCCAGAUUGUCACUCUAGGCCCAUGCCUGACUUGUCUCUAUUCCACCAGGAAGGUCAACUUGUGAGCUACAUGUGCUGCCUCCCUCCCUCUUGCCUAUGCUUUACCAUUUAAACCAACAGCAUCCCAGCUUGCACGCGCAUACACACACACACACACACACACACACACACAGCACCCUGCUUCAUACUGGCAAAAAAAGGGUGCUAAAAAUGCUCAGGUUUUUCACUGCAGAGAGCAGCUUUCUUUUUGUUUUUUGGGGGUAAAAUUUAAAAAAGGGUUUUCCCUAAAAAUCAAGACCAAGACUACAUGCAUGUUUGAACAGUGUUGGUUGAAAGUAAACUUUGUGAUAUAAUGUUAUUCUUUUCACACACACACAAAAAAAAGUUUCCAGCCAGCUUUUCACUACCAAGGUCCCCCCCACACACACAUUUUAUUUACAAUAGCAAUAGUGCUGAACUGAAAUAUAGUCCUGGAGUCAGUUUCAAUGUCCAGGAUGAAAAGGUGUCUGCUGCCUGCUAGUUUGGUGAGUGGGAAUAGAAUAGAUGCCUAAUGCUUAACAGCCUCCUUCCCUCCCUCUUGCCUAUGCUUCACCACUUGAAGACCAAUGGCAUCCCAGCUUGCGCACACACUCGCACACACGCACACAGCACCCUUUUUCUUUGUUUGUCUUUGUUCAUGUAGCCCCAAUUUUUUAUCUUACUUGUGUACUCUCCAUCCACAUACACUCCCACCUGCCCUCUCUCUCUCCCUGAGUCUUUCCUGUGGCAUGGUGGUUUUUUUAGAUAGAACCCACGGUUUUGUGCAAAAGUCUUGAUAAAACCAGCCAGCCCCAUUGAUGUAGGAGUUCAAGCUGGGCAUCUUGUUCUGACUCAACUUCUCCAGAUCAUAAUGAAUUAACAUUCCUGGGAGCAGUUGGCAGUUUGCAAGCUCUCUCCCUGCCUCUUGCCUCCUGGCUGGGGCUCUGUCUGGGGCAAAAAAACCUCCUCUGGAGCUUUUUUGUGAUAUAAUAUAACAACUUUGUGAGAUAUAUAUAAAACAGCUUUGUAAUAUAAUAUUAUUCUCUUCACUAAUAAAAAAGUUUUUCAGCCAGUUUCAUCAUUUGAAUACCAACAGCAGCUUCCCCCAUGGCUGGGGGCCCUGCUUUUAGUACCCCUGGUUGGUGCUGGCCUACAUGCUCUCCCCUCCCUGGACAGGCCCUCCUAGCCUCUUCCCCCUGCUGCUUCCCCCAUGUAUGUAACAAACAUAAUUAUCAAUGCUUGGACUUAUAAAAAUGUAAUGCAAAAAUGUAAAUGUAAAAAUGUAACUCGUGGUUUAUCUAAAGCCUCAAUGGAAACAGUACUACAUAAAUGUGUAUGUAAAACAGAAAGAA